rnacentral:rRNA from 1 species
UACAGAGGUCCCAAGCGUUUGUUCGGAUUCACUGGGGCGUAAAGGGUGCGUAGGUGGCAGGGGUAAGUUUGAUGUGAAAUCUCCGAGCUCAACUCGGAAACUGCAUUUGAAUACUAUCUGCUUGAGGAUUGGAGGGGAGACUGGAAUUCUGGUGUAGCAGUGAAAUGCGUAGAUAUCGAGAGGAACACCAGUGGCGAAGGCGAGUCUCUAGACAACUCCUGACACUGAGGCACGAAAAGCUAGGGGGAGCAAACAGG